UGCAGAUCAUAACACUGUAUAUAUAAGAUUUGUUGUAGGGAGUUAACUCGUGAGUUAUGGAAACUGAAAAAAGUCCCACGAUCUGCAGUUGGCCAGCUGGAGGCUCGGAAGAGGGGAUGGUGUCAGCUCCACUCUGAGUCUGAAGGCAGGCAAAGACAGAUGUCCCAGUCUGAAGACAGUCAGACAGACAGAAGUUCCUUCUUAUCUGCGGGACACUAAGUCUUUAUGUUUUAUUCGGGCCUUCAACUGAUUAGAUGAGGCCCACCCUCAUUGGAGAGAGCUCUCUCCUUUACUCAGUCUGUCCAUUCCAAUGCUAAUCUCAUCCAGAAACACCCUCCCAGACACACCCAGAAUCAUGUUUCACCAAACAUCAGAGCACCCUGUUACCCAGCCAAGUUGACAUAUAAAAUUAACCCUCAUAAUAUCUAUGUAUAUAUGUGGGUGUGUGCAUCUUACGAUGCAUUAAGCGCUGGGCUGGCACAGGAUAAAGAAUAUUAUAAUUUUGGCUGGGAAAAUAAAACUGCACUGGAAUAAUAAUUUAGAGUCAUCCUGAAAUACCAUUUCCUAUGUCCAAAUACAAAUUCAGGGAAGGAUCUGAAAAAAAAAUAAAAUAGACAAUGUAGCCAGUUGGCCACAUGUAGAGAAUACAGACAGCCAUGAUGCCUCAGAAGAACUCCAGUAACUCCAUAACUUUUCCGUGUCUUCUGCGCUCCUCACGGCUGAAAGAAAGACACCAACCAGUCACCCUGUUGCGGUCAUGCUGUUUGGAGCUGCUGGCGGCCUUGCGGCUGUGAGAUCUGUGCGAUGCUGGUUUCUCCCUCACAUCCCUCUCUAGAAAAUGUGUGUUCCCAGUGCAUGUAAAGAAUGCAGGGCAGUGAACUACACAUAUUUCAGGUGUGCAAUUUGAACAGGAAUCAUACCAUAAUAAAGGUUUAAAAAAAAGAAGAAGAAGAAGAAUGCAGAGCAGAUUUGAGCUCAGCUUAAUUUCAAAAAGGCAAAGGCAACUGUCCUCAGCAAGAAUGAAUGACUCACUUCUUUAACCAUCAGAAACGAGACGUCCAGGUUCCCAAUUCGAUCCCACCAGCUGAACGUGGAGGAGGAUGUGUGGUCCUUUUGUUUCAAAAAGGCGCUGUUGCAACCGUUUCCUUGCACCCCACGCCUGCAACUCCUCACCCAAGCGUCCUUUUCACUUUGGACGGUGGACGGUUUGUAAGUGUGUCUAAAGAAACAGGAACAACCAGAUAACCUGUAUUUGCAGAGGAUGCUAGAAGUGGUGAUCGCAACCAAUUAGGACAAAAGGGAGAGGUUGCCAAGAAUCUUUGGUUGAUAAACAAGCACAAACAUUGUGACAGUCUGUAACAUAUGCCUUAGGACUGUGUCUGUUUAGAAGAAGCUAGCUUCACCGUGACUAAUGUUUCAAACCACAGCAGAACUUGUCUCUGGCGAGGUUAAUGGAACAGAAUAGAGAGCCCAGAAAUGAACUCACCCAGGUAUCUUAUCAGCCAGAAUUCCACCCAGCAAGCAAACAGGGCAUUCCUCAUUGUCUGGAGAACAUCAGUAUGCACAUUUCCCACUGACGAACACCUAAUUAGAGCUAAUGAAGUGCUCUCCUUGUAAGCAAUCCUGUUGUGACAUAGACCAUCGGAUGACUCAACACAGCUGUCUCAUUUUAGGCAACCCACAUUUAAUUUCUCUCGUGGCAUUUCGCACUUAAGACUUGGCAGAGAAGAUUCAGGGCCAGAGUCAAAUUUUCAACAAAAUUUGAUGGACGCCUUUUGGGCUCUUUGUUGAGCAUUAGAGUUGGAGAUAACAAACUCACUUCUCUCAGCCUGCAAGACCUUUCGGUAGCCAAUCGAGUUCCAAGGAAGGUUUGGCCUCAAAGUUUAAGAUGGCGACUCAUUCUUCCAUUAAUAUUGAUGAGUGUUGAUAGAGUGGUCUUAGUGGUGACAUGUCUCCUAAAAGAUAGAUAAUUUCUUGAGUUUGAUUACACUCUGCCGUUUCUAAACUCACUUUUUCCGGGAGACAUAGUGUUUACUGCUGCUGCCAAAAUAGCGGAACAUCGUGGUGGAUGGCGGGGAACAUGGCUGGUCCAAGGGAGUUAUGAGCAGUUUAACAAGCACUUGUGUGUAGAAGUCUGAGUGUCUGUUGGGUCCUUCCUGUACUUUCUGCCUCAUCUUCCACUCUCUCUUAGAUGGAGAUACAUGUUGCCAGGUCACACUGAGAAGGACGAUGAACGUUUCUGGCUUCCAUUUUCUCCAUAGUGCUUUUUAUAUGGAGCCCCCCACGCCCUUGCAGUGCACUGUGCGUGUUUUUCUAUCCCAGUGCCCUGAGACGAAAGGAUUCCUUUCCUCCAAACUACAAGGACAGCGUCUUCUUCGCGGUAAGGACCAAACCUGUUUAUCUUGUGUGGAUAAAGCCUGAUACAGUUUUGCUGCUUUUUCAGCGACUCAAUGAAUGUUUCUGUUGAUUCCAAAUCAGUGAAAUUCCUGGUAAGCGUGGACAGAUGUGUCACCACAGGUAAAUGCUUUCAACAUCUACUGUAGUUGAUACUGAAACAUAAAGAGAUUCUGUAGCACCUACAUUUCCCCCAAUUUCAGCCAUGCCAGCUGCUGCCUAGCUUCCCACAAAUACAAAAAAAAAAGGGGGGGGUGGGGAAGACAGCAAGAUUCCUGAAUGUCUAAAUCCGAACAUCUUGCUUGUCCUUAUAGCCUGACUACCCAAGAUGUCAGUAGGUGAUUUGACUUCCAUUCAGUCCUGGUAAGGUGGUUCGCAAGGAACAGCAUCGACCUACUGCUUAUAAAAUCAAGAGGGGCUUCCCAAGAUGGGAGUGGGUGUCACAAAAACAGUGAGAAGUGCCCCCCCCACAAUCACAGAUGCUCCAGAGUUCUCAUCCAGGGAACACGUCUGCAAUUGCUUUCUCUAAACCAUCCCUUAAAAUUCCUUCCAGCCUCAUGCUUCCAUCUCCAUCGGAAUAAUGAGCUGCAAUAAUGAGCUGGAACAGAAAGUUGAACCCUCUCCCUCCAGAGCCUCCCAGCGCUGCGUGCUCACACAAGCUCAGAGGCAUGUAAACAAGACAGUCAACAUCCUAAAGUCUGCUGCCAAGCCUAAGAGAUAAAUCAUCCUCCAACGGAGCCCACAUGCGCUCAUCGGCCAGUUAAACUUUAUCUUGCAUUUCUUCCGCUGCCAGAUGGGUUUUGGUAGCAAUGAAGGAUGAGGUCCUCCAGGGGUCGUUCUUGGGAGGGGACUUCGAGAAUGUUUUCCAGGCUGAGAGCAGAGGGGGGGACCAUCCCGGGCAUGGAAUUGAGAUGGAGAGGAGUGCUGUUGGAACAGGACAUUCUUUGGGAGGGGGGCCAUGAUGGAUUUCAACGUUUAGAUGAACAGACUUUCUACCAGAAGAGACUCCCUUGGGUUUUACCAGGUAGAUGGGGAGGGCUCGCUCAUCUCUCUCUCUUUCUCAUCCAUCACGGCUUACCUGCCCCAGCCUGCUCCCACGACUCCAAUAUAGUGGUGCCAGCGGAGGGUCCCCUUACUGAAACAUCUGUAAAUACAGCGUACCUUUUCCAGUCCUCUUCUUCCCGAUCUUACAGCAGCAACAGGUGCUUCUUGAAACACCCAUACUCCUUGCUUUCAUCAUGGUUAUGGGCUGAACCUUGCCCCUCCGAAAUCCACAUGUUGAUGUCCUCAACCCCAAGACUUCAGAAUGUCACUGUAUUUUGUAGAUAGAGUCUGGAUAUUUGGCUCAUCUGGGUACAUGUGGGAUAAACCAAGUGUUUCUUGUAACUAACCCAACACUUGGCCUCAAAGGUCAACAGAGGCUCCGUGAAACAUUUGCAAGGUUGGGGGGUGGGAAUGGGGGGAACUUGGGAUUGGAUUUUUUUUGGCCAUCCAUUUCAAUUCUCUGAUUCCAUUUUCUGCCUAUUACCAAAUCCACUGUUUUUUGGUUUUUUUCAGUCUUCCUCCUUUUUUAACUUGGGUGAGUUUUUGGGAGACUUACCAAUGAAUUCCACCCGGAAGCUCCCUUUCUGUUAGAAUAAUGACCGUAGCUUUGAGCACUCCUCAUCACUCUGCUUUGGUCCAUUUCUCUCUGCCUCAUUUCCCUGCACGGAAGACGCAUCCUUGCCCUCAGUCUUCUUUUUCCCUUUCUCCCCAAACGGGCUGAUUCACAGUGUGUCCCUCCAAAAUGACUUCAUUAUCACAUCUGUCAGGAGAACCUUCAGUACAAAUCUGCCGUCCAAACCGUCUUUCAUAAACACAGACCGCGUGUAUAAAUGAUUAUUUGCCAGGAGUCAUGUGAUGGAUGAUUAAAAGAGAAUUCUUUAAAAAAUGGAACAAACCCAUUAAUUUCAUUCACAACUUGGAUCCUUUUCAGAAGGGAAGAUAAUGGAGUGUUCCAUGACAGAAAUGGGAUAUAAAACUCUAUAUGAUGAAAAACGCAUAUUCCUAAACAUGGGUCUCCUAAACGUAGAAGAAUGUGUAGCAAAAUAUAAACAGUUCAUCAUUCGGCUGUGAGUUCAUGAGUAAAUGAAUUUUUUUAAAAAAGGGUAGCUUUUGCAAGAUACAAUUCACACACCAAAAAAUUCAUCCAUCGAAAGUGUAUAAAUCAGCGUUUUUUUUAAUAUAUUCACAGAGCUGCCAAAUUGCUAUUCCAGUCAAUAUUGGGACAUUUUCAACACCCUAAGAAGUCCAUUAAUUGUCACUGCCCUGCCUCCCCCCAACCCUCCCAGCCCCUGGCAGCUGCGAAUUUAUAUUCUGUCUCGGUGGAACGUGUGAUGUGUGUUUUGGUUUUCCAAGUAGUCUACAAUGUGGGCAUAUUCCUUUCAUGGUCAUUAAAAAAAAAAGCAUUAAAGUUUCCUUCCUUCAACUUUUUAGUCUCAGUCUCAUUUUCUGAGUAAUGCCGACACGGUUGCCUUUAAAGUGGAAGAGGCUGACCCUUCCCGAACUUUGAUUUUACACAGGUCUGUGUCCGGUAGGCGACUUGGGCUGCCCUUGACUGCGGCUCCUGGAAGCAUUUGCUCACACAGCUAGAUCCCCAGUCCUCUGGACAACUGUAGAAGCAGAAGGAGAAACAAUAGCGGCUCACACUCACAGCUGCCUUCAUUAGCAGGAAACUUAGACAUUUGCUCCAUCUGUGGCCAGCGACCCUGAUCUUCCCCCGAAAUGUGGCCAAGGGCUUGGCACCACCUGGAUGAUGAUGUUUCAAUCCUGGUUACUGACCGUGAGUGUCUAGCCAUCCCUCCGUAAAUGCUAUUUCCAGUACCGUGCGGUUAAACACACCGGGAUGUACCAAAAACACAAAAUAAGUUCCGUGAGAGCCUCUCCAAACACACUGACCUCUGCGAGGCCAUCUGAUCUCAUGUUCAGCUCCGAUGCUGAGAAAACCAGAACGAAACUGAAGACCCGUGCUCCUGCUGAGAACCACAGCCACAAAAAAGAGGAGGAAGUCAUGGAAUUGGGGACGAUGGCUUUGCAGCUGUCUGGUUGUGAUCUGGAGCUCAGGGGAAAUCUGAUGCCGUGUUUGUUGUGUGUGUAUAUAUAUUCACGUAGCGUGUCAUGGGUGGCACAUUUUGAGCCCAUGGUGAAAUUAACACAAGACUAGUGAUGCCGUUAAUUUAGACAUUCUCUUGCUGUGCCUAAUUUAUAAAUUAAACUUUAUCAUAAGUGUAUAUGCAUCCAUAUAGAGGGUUUGGUACUAUUCAUGGUUAUAGGCAUCUUGAAGUGUGUGCUCCAAGGAUAAGGAGGGGCCAAAGAAUUAAAGUGUUGUAUUAGAAGUCAAGGAACACCUGGAGCUGCCAGAAGUUGGAAGACGCAUGGAAGGACCCACGUAUAGAGCCUCCGAAUGCAGUGUCGUCCAGCUCACACUUUGAUCUUGGGUGUCUGGACUUCAGGAACGUGAAAGGAUACAUUUUCUGUUGUUUUUCCACCCAGACGGUGGUACUUUUAUGUGACAGCCUUAGGAAAGUCAUACAGACAGGAAAGUGAAUCAGAUUUCUUAACCACUGAUUGCAGGACACACAAGAGAAGAAUAAAUAUUGACUCCAAAGGUUUGGGCAGAGAUGGAGAGGGUUACAGAGAAGAUCAAGUGUCCAGCACUGGACUUGCCGAACAAAGUGCCCGUGAACUCGGAUGUUAAUCACUUAUCCACGAAGCAUCCAAGUGGAGAUGCUGAGGAGCCAGUUGGAUAAUGUGAGUCUGGGGCAAAGAUGCUGAUGUAAAUUUGAGGGUUGUUGACAGAUGAAAGUAUAUAAAGAUGGAAGGUGCAUCGGCCACACAGGGAAUAACAAAGGUAUUUUCAUUUUGUAAAUCACUAGAGCACAACCAUCCUAUUUUGGAAGACGCUCAGGCGCAACUCUGGGACCACACUUCCCUCCUUUGCUAUUCCCUGCAUGACCGAUACACCAGAAAUGAGCACAAUCAACCGUACUUCAAUUUUCUAAAAAAAGAAAUAUGUAUUUGCUCUUCCCUGGGUCCUGGUAUAGAGCUGCUGAAACCCUUGGAAUUUCUUGUGAGGGGAACCAGGGUGGAGUCUUUUGUUAUGUCAAUGAGGUGGCCUUUGGGAAGCACCUAAGGAUGGGGGCUGGUUGCUGGGGGAACCAACCAUGUAUUGAAGGAAAGGGCAGGCCCUUUUUUCAGCGCUCCGAUCACAGGGUCCAGCAGAAUGCUUGGCUUAGGGCUCAUGUUAGCCACUGCUGGGUAAUAAGUCAUCACACGCUCAAAAGCCUUAAAACAAACAAACAAACAAACAAAAAACCACACGUUUACUAUCUCACGGCUUCUGUGGGUCAGGAACGUGGCCACAGCUUAACCGGGUCCUCUGAUGAGGCUCUCACAGAGCCACAAGCAAGGCUCAUCUGAAGGGCUUCCCUCUACGGAAGGAUCCGCCUCCAAGCUCAUGCAUGCAGCUGUUGGCAGGAUUCACUUCCUUAAGGGUUGUUGGACUGAGGACCUACUUUCCUGGCUGGCUGGCUGGCUGUCGUUCCCUGCCCUGUGGACGUCCCCGUAGGGCAGCUCUCAAAGUGUCAACAGGUUUCAUCAAAGCCAACGACGGUGGGCAUCCAUACAGAGAAUCUGCUUGUGAGACGGAAGCCACCGUCUUAACGUCAUUUCAUCACAGAAGUGACAUCUCAUCACGUCUGUCCUGUUCUCUUGGUUAGAAGCAAAAUACAGGUCCCAUCCACACGCAGGGGGAGUAGAUUAUCCAGGGACCUGACUCUCCAGAGAAGAGCAUGAUUGGAACCAUUUAGAGCCUGCCUCCCACCUGCAGGACCCAUAAUACACGUUUCUUGGGAGAAAAAGUAAUAAUCGUUGCUGGGUGUAGAGCAAACACAGAACCCAGCCUUCUGAGCGGGUGGCCAGGCUCUGUGGUCAGCUUCUGCCCUGAGAGUAAGAGCUGGUGAGGGGGCUGAAGCCCCCAGGACAGCGGGCAGGUGGGUGGUGGGGAGGGACACCACAUGACAAGGUGCACACGACACCCAGCCCUGCCCGCCCUCCGUCGUUCUGAGAACCAGUCUGGUUUGCCUACUAAUCCAGCCUGCCCCAUUCCUUCAUGAUUUCUCGAAGGAAAUCAAAAACGUGUUCGGCUUUGGAGUUGGCCUUUUGAAAGCUCUCCCGUGAUUGUUCUUCCCCGCACCAUAACAAAAACAGACUUUACGGGGUUUCUUUCCCAACCUUUGUUACAUUUUAAACUGUUGAGAGACGCAGUAAGACAUCCCCGCACCCCCCCUCGCCCGAGUGGGGCUCCCAACGCAGAAACAAACUCGAACUGUCGGACCCACUUUAGAAGUUGUUUGUUCAGCUGGAGAACAAACACAGCUUCAGCAAACUUCAAAAACAACAGGGCUAAAAUCCUCCCAUACCCUUGGCAUAAAUUCAUUGCCCUCUAUUUUCCAAGCUGCGUAGGGACAGAAGUCAACAGCAGUGCACUCUAGAAACAAAAGUGUGGGUUUGUCAUUUGAACAUAAGACCCAAGAAAUGCUACCCCAAAGGGCUGAACGUUUCCAGGACCUCUCACGAGACUUUUACUUGCAUCUACUGUCAGUUUCUUCUUUAUCUGGAUCAAAACGGAUUUGCCUUUGUCUAAGGUUUGCAGAAGGACUCUACGUUUGUGGCCAGCGAUCAUUCUCUGCGACGGGGACUGUAGGCUGCCUGGCAGUGUCUCUGGCCUCUACACACUGGAUUCCUGCGGAAUCAUCCAUUUAGUGAAAAACCCAAAAUAUUCCCAGACGUUGCCAAAUGUCCCUUGGGGGAACAGAAUCACUAUGGAUUGAGAAUCACUGAUAAUGGGUGGAAGACAGGGAGAAAAAAUUCCCCCAGGCUUUAAUUUUGGGUACCAAGAACCAUGUAACGUGUCCCAGUAUCACUCUGUCCGGUUGGCACCCUUGGCCUACGUCAUAAUCAGCACCCGGCAUCAGCAUUUGCUAACAAAGCGAGUCUAGGUUUCACUCCCCUUGACUUCAGCAAGAUUCAGGGUAUGGCGUUGUAUCUCUCCUAAAAUGAGCCGUAGCCAAGCGCACUUUUCUCAGCAGACCCUUUCUCUGGCGUCUCCCCCAAGUCUUCAAAUGCUUGGGGUCGGUAUGGGGUCUUCACCGCCCCUCAGCAUCCAAGGACAGAGGCUGAUGGAGAUACGUAGGUCUCUGGGCUGUUUCUGAUCCCACGUAACACGCAAAAGACUUUUUAUGCCCAUAAAUUCCUGAGUGAGCUGUUAAGCAGGCGACGGGUUCAACUGAACCAUCAUUAAUUCAUUAAACGUCCGUUUCCAGACAGACCUAAAAAUGGAACAUUUAGGUCUUCUGUUGUGUGGAAUCCUAGCCAGGUUCAUAAACACAAUUAAGUGUUUUUCCCUUGCUCCAUAAAAUUAAGGACUUUCUGGUAUGUCCAAUUCUGUCUACCAAACACACUGUCUUAAAUUUCCAUGAAAUAAUUUCAAGCAAAAUUCGAUUUUAAUGUUUUUUUUUUUAACGAAUGGAAGGUGCUCAGUGAAGGAAUGGAUAUAACAAUACACCAAGAAGAAGUUUUGUAAUUCCGGAGGAAUUAGAAUUCAGCGGAGUCUGCAGUAAAGAGCCACAGAGAUUCAGCAAUGCGGGCAAAGACAACGCACAGUAGAAAAUCAUUUUUGUCAAGUCUGUCGGGAGCUUUACAGUGACACGAUACCACCUCAUUGCAGGAGGAGUUCUUCAGCCCCAUCCUUCAGCCCCGGGAAGCGUAAGCAUGACCAGAAGAGCAGAGAUGAAAUAUUCUCAUUCUCCAGAGAAACCAGCGCGGGGACACGCCAUAAAGCAGAGCAUGACACACAUCGGUCUAAGUAAACGAUGUGGUUCUCCCUGAAGACAAGACCCCACCUUUUCAUAACUGCAAAGGUAGGACUAGGCCUAUCAAGUAGCCGCCUCGCAUUCUUUCCAACAGCGGUGGAAGACUGGCACCUGAGAACGAAAACCUCUUACUCCUCCAGGGACAGCAGAAUCCCACGAGUACCUCCAAAUGCAGCCCCAAAUAGCACAUCUUUGUGUUCAAAUCAGAAGUUUUGUUAAGAGUCUCACAGCACCUUCCAGCCAGCUUGCAAUGCCGUGAAGGUGUUCACAGUAUGUAAAGGAAUAUGUCCAAAUCCUGCCCUGGCCCCUCUCCAUGUUUUCGGCUGGUGCUGCUUCUCAAACCCCCUCCAGGCUUCCCCUGGUUUUCCCUGGUGUUCAUCCACACUCCUGUUAAUUAAGAUGAAUUUCAUGGCUGUCAUAGAAGGUCUCAAGGAAUCCUUGGCCACGGUGAUCAGAGCUGUUGGCAGGAAAAUGAAAAGAAAACCCACACUUGAUUUUGUGAUUUUGCAUGAAGUGGAAUGAGCAUGUAAUUUAACAGUCAAACUGAGAUUGAAAGAUUGAAAAGGGAGGAUGUUUGCAUACGUUCAUGGGCACAGGUGUAAACUGGGAUCACCCCAGGCAAGCCAGGGCCUAGGGUCACCUCACCAAGACCGGAAAAGGCAAUGAAAAUUGUGGCGUAUAUAUAGAUACACUGCAAUACUAUUUAGCGAUAAAGUGGACUGAAAUUCUGAUACCAGCAACAACAUGGGUGAACCUCAAAAACAUGAUAUUAAGUGAAAGAAGCCAGACACAAAAGACCACACAUUACAGGACUCCAUCAGUAUGAAAUGUCCAGAAUAGUUAAAUCCAAAGAGACAGAAAAAUCAGUGGUUUCCUAGCCCUGCGGAGAAUGGGGGGAGUUCCUUGGAGUCAGCGUGGGAUUUCCUUUCAGGGUGAUGAAAAAAUUCUGAAACUUUGAUGGCUUGGUGAUGGUUGCACAACAUGGUGAAUGUAUUAAAUGCCACUGAAUUGUUGUCUUCGAUCAAUUGAUUUUCAGUUAUGUGAAUUUCACCUGCAUAAAAAUAAAAAGGAAGUGUCUGCCGUGAUGAGUUCAGAAGCGUCAAAUUCACUUUAACGUAUCCGAAUAAUUCUCAUCCACCUGGGUUGUCCUGAAGAGUUCAACCUGGAAAUCUUUGCCUUUCAUUAUCAGUAUGCCUCCAUUGUUUCCUUUAUAUCUUCCGAGGGUGUCUGUGGACACCCAGAAGUGAUUUUUUGCCUCCUCCGGCAACAUCCUGCCCUUCGUGAUCACACAGCAGAAGCAAUCAUCCCUCUGUAAAUGCUGCAGCUCAGGGAGGCACCCGCUCCCUGCACAGAACCCCGUUACUUUCUUUCCACCCUGUUGGGCUCAAGCUCUUUGGAGAUGCUGGCCCAGGAGGUCUCACAGAGCUGUGGUUCAAGACACAUGUGCUCACUCAUCCUGAGCUGGAAUAAUGAAAUCCUGACGCUGAGAGAAAAAGAAAAUCAAAUUUGCAUAGAAUCCUUGGUAGGAGACAUCUCGUUCCAACAAUAGCCUCCACCAGCACCGAUUUGUGAAAAAUGAAAUAUUGGCUGUUGGAGGCUGGAUGCUUUCUCUCUCACCACUUCCAUCGACCAUGUCGAUCAGCUGAGAGAUCUUAGGAGCAAAA